UUGACCUCAAAUCAGGUAGGACUACCCGCUGAACUUAAGCAUAUCAAUAAGCGGAGAAAAGAAA
rnacentral:rRNA from 1 species